AAUGAACGUUGGCGGCGUGGAUUAGGCAUGCAAGUCGCGCGAGAAAUUUCCUUCGGGGAAUGGACAGCGGCGAAAGGGAGAGUAAUACGUAGAAAUCUGCCCUCGAGCCUGGGAUAGCGGCGGGAAACUGCCGGUAAUACCAGAUAACGUCUUCGGACCAAAGGUGUGAUUCCGCUUGAGGAUGAGUCUACGACCUAUUAGCUUGUUGGCGGGGUAAAGCCCACCAAGGCGACGAUGGGUAGCGGGUGUGAGAGCAUGACCCGCCUCACUGGGACUGAGACACUGCCCAGACACCUACGGGUGGCUGCAGUCGAGAAUCUUCGGCAAUGGACGAAAGUCUGACCGAGCGACGCCGCGUGCGGGAUGAAGGCCCUUGGGUUGUAAACCGCUGUCGUAAGGGAGCAAGUCUACGGGGGUACUCCCCUGUAGUUGAGUGAUCUUAGGAGGAAGGACAGGCUAAGUUCGUG
rnacentral:rRNA from 1 species